rnacentral:rRNA from 1 species
GGUUAAGCGACUAAGCGUACACGGUGGAUGCCCUGGCAGUCAGAGGCGAUGAAGGACGUGCUAAUCUGCGAUAAGCGUCGGUAAGGUGAUAUGAACCGUUAUAACCGGCGAUUUCCGAAUGGGGAAACCCAGUGUGUUUCGACACACUAUCAUUAACUGAAUCCAUAGGUUAAUGAGGCGAACCGGGGGAACUGAAACAUCUAAGUACCCCGAGGAAAAGAAAUCAACCGAGAUUCCCCCAGUAGCGGCGAGCGAACGGGGAGCAGCCCAGAGCCUGAAUCAGUGUGUGUGUUAGUGGAAGCGUCUGGAAAGGCGCGCGAUACAGGGUGACAGCCCCGUACACAAAAAUGCACAUGCUGUGAGCUCGAUGAGUAGGGCGGGACACGUGGUAUCCUGUCUGAAUAUGGGGGGACCAUCCUCCAAGGCUAAAUACUCCUGACUGACCGAUAGUGAACCAGUACCGUGAGGGAAAGGCGAAAAGAACCCCGGCGAGGGGAGUGAAAAAGAACCUGAAACCGUGUACGUACAAGCAGUGGGAGCACAGAGCAAUCUGUGUGACUGCGUACCUUUUGUAUAAUGGGUCAGCGACUUAUAUUCUGUAGCAAGGUUAACCGAAUAGGGGAGCCGAAGGGAAACCGAGUCUUAACUGGGCGUUAAGUUGCAGGGUAUAGACCCGAAACCCGGUGAUCUAGCCAUGGGCAGGUUGAAGGUUGGGUAACACUAACUGGAGGACCGAACCGACUAAUGUUGAAAAAUUAGCGGAUGACUUGUGGCUGGGGGUGAAAGGCCAAUCAAACCGGGAGAUAGCUGGUUCUCCCCGAAAGCUAUUUAGGUAGCGCCUCGUGAAUUCAUCUCCGGGGGUAGAGCACUGUUUCGGCAAGGGGGUCAUCCCGACUUACCAACCCGAUGCAAACUGCGAAUACCGGAGAAUGUUAUCACGGGAGACACACGGCGGGUGCUAACGUCCGUCGUGAAGAGGGAAACAACCCAGACCGCCAGCUAAGGUCCCAAAGUCAUGGUUAAGUGGGAAACGAUGUGGGAAGGCCCAGACAGCCAGGAUGUUGGCUUAGAAGCAGCCAUCAUUUAAAGAAAGCGUAAUAGCUCACUGGUCGAGUCGGCCUGCGCGGAAGAUGUAACGGGGCUAAACCAUGCACCGAAGCUGCGGCAGCGACGCUUAUGCGUUGUUGGGUAGGGGAGCGUUCUGUAAGCCUGCGAAGGUGUGCUGUGAGGCAUGCUGGAGGUAUCAGAAGUGCGAAUGCUGACAUAAGUAACGAUAAAGCGGGUGAAAAGCCCGCUCGCCGGAAGACCAAGGGUUCCUGUCCAACGUUAAUCGGGGCAGGGUGAGUCGACCCCUAAGGCGAGGCCGAAAGGCGUAGUCGAUGGGAAACAGGUUAAUAUUCCUGUACUUGGUGUUACUGCGAAGGGGGGACGGAGAAGGCUAUGUUGGCCGGGCGACGGUUGUCCCGGUUUAAGCGUGUAGGCUGGUUUUCCAGGCAAAUCCGGAAAAUCAAGGCUGAGGCGUGAUGACGAGGCACUACGGUGCUGAAGCAACAAAUGCCCUGCUUCCAGGAAAAGCCUCUAAGCAUCAGGUAACAUCAAAUCGUACCCCAAACCGACACAGGUGGUCAGGUAGAGAAUACCAAGGCGCUUGAGAGAACUCGGGUGAAGGAACUAGGCAAAAUGGUGCCGUAACUUCGGGAGAAGGCACGCUGAUAUGUAGGUGAAGUCCCUCGCGGAUGGAGCUGAAAUCAGUCGAAGAUACCAGCUGGCUGCAACUGUUUAUUAAAAACACAGCACUGUGCAAACACGAAAGUGGACGUAUACGGUGUGACGCCUGCCCGGUGCCGGAAGGUUAAUUGAUGGGGUCAGCGCAAGCGAAGCUCUUGAUCGAAGCCCCGGUAAACGGCGGCCGUAACUAUAACGGUCCUAAGGUAGCGAAAUUCCUUGUCGGGUAAGUUCCGACCUGCACGAAUGGCGUAAUGAUGGCCAGGCUGUCUCCACCCGAGACUCAGUGAAAUUGAACUCGCUGUGAAGAUGCAGUGUACCCGCGGCAAGACGGAAAGACCCCGUGAACCUUUACUAUAGCUUGACACUGAACAUUGAGCCUUGAUGUGUAGGAUAGGUGGGAGGCUUUGAAGUGUGGACGCCAGUCUGCAUGGAGCCG